GGAACUUGAUAUAUAUUCGACCCUAUGCACUUUCCGUCCUAGUCCAGCCUUCAAAUGGAGAAGUGGGAAAUGAGCUUCCAGUGCAGCCACAACUGGUAUUUUUGGAUCAGCAGAAUCGAAGAGUGGAGUCUCUGGGGCCCCCUUCAGAGCCAUGGACAAUUUCAGCUUCCCUAGAAGGGGCAUCAGACUCAGCGCUAAAAGGAUGCACUCAGGCAGAAACUCAAGAUGGUUAUGUUAGCUUCUACAACUUGGCAGUCUUGAUCUCUGGGUCAAACUGGCAGUUCAUUUUUACUGUCACUUCUCCUCCAGGAGUCAAUUUUACAGCUCGAUCCAAGCCAUUUGCUAUCUUGCCUGUGACUAGGAAGGAGAAGUCAACCAUCAUACUGGCUGCUUCCCUGUCCUCUGUGGUCUCGUGGCUGGCUCUGAGCUGUCUGGUGUGCUG